rnacentral:lncRNA from 1 species
UGCUUCUUUGUUGUUGUUAGAAUAUUAUAGGAGAAGUAUUGGUGUGAGGCUUGUACAAAGACAUAACAAUAAUGAAAAUCUCUCACGGGGUGUGAGGGGUCUAGAUGUACCCUUGGUUGAUAAGGGGAACUAGUAUGCAUCAUUGUGUUCUUGAUUUUUCUGCCUUUAAAUUAUGCCCUUGACCUCAUAAGUUCGUCAACAUAUUUCUGGGAAAAUAAGAACAUGAGAACCAUCACUUAAAAACUCUAAAAGUCCAGAAAAUCUAACNUCCCCCCUCUUUUAGAUUGCACUAUAGACUUACACCUUGGUGGUGGAACACAUCUUUGGAUUCUUAGAAUUUUGACUCAUAUUGAAAAAAAAAACACUUAAGAGAUAAGACAAAGAACGAUUUUCUGAGAGCAAGAUAAAGAUAAGUGUAGGUUGUUCUUGCUCGUAACGAAGGACUGGAUAAAUAGAGAGUUUGAUAAAUAAUUAAUCAGAUUCAUUUCACAUGCACCAUAAAGCAUAUGAGAGAGGUAGUUGAUC